rnacentral:rRNA from 1 species
UACGGGGGGAGCAAGCGUUGUUCGGAUUUACUGGGCGUAAAGGGCGCGUAGGCGGUCAGCACAAGUCAGUUGUGAAAUCUCCGGGCUUAACUCGGAAAGGUCAACUGAUACUGUGCGACUAGAGUGCAGAAGAGGCAACUGGAAUUCUCGGUGUAGCGGUGAAAUGCGUAGAUAUCGAGAGGAACACCUGCGGCGAAGGCGGGUUGCUGGGCUGACACUGACGCUGAUGCGCGAAAGCCAGGGGAGCGAACGGG